UUGCAGAGAAAAUAAAAAUAGAACCAUGAAUAACCCAUUGGCUAUUUGCACAACCAUUUUAUUUUAAUUUCAUUGAUGGAACGAACAUGGAAAACUGCAGUUUGAUACCUGGUGCUGUUACGAAGGGAAAGAUCUGUCAACUCCUUUAUUCAAAUCUAUUGUCUCUUCUCAAAAUUGUUCUCUCUAUAGAUAAUAUCCCAGUAUGA
rnacentral:misc_RNA from 1 species